rnacentral:rRNA from 1 species
ACUCAAAUGAAUUGACGGGGGCCCGCACAAGCGGUGGAGCAUGUGGUUUAAUUCGACGCAACGCGAAGAACCUUACCCGGGCUUGAACUGCAGGUGAACGACUACGAAAGUGGUUUUCCGCAAGGACACCUGUAGAGGUGCUGCAUGGCUGUCGUCAGCUCGUGUCGUGAGAUGUUGGGUUAAGUCCCGCAACGAGCGCAACCCUUGUUCGCUGUUGCCAUCAGGUAAAGCUGGGCACUCUGCGGAGACUGCCGGUGACAAACCGGAGGAAGGUGGGGAUGACGUCAAGUCAGCAUGGCCUUUAUGUCCGGGGCUACACACGUGCUACAAUGGCCGGUACAAACCGCUGCAAACUCGCGAGGGUGAGCUAAUCGGAAAAAGCCGGUCUCAGUUCGGAUUGUAGGCUGCAACUCGCCUGCAUGAAGUCGGAAUCGCUAGUAAUCGCGGAUCAGCACGCCGCGGUGAAUACGUUCCCGGGCCUUGCACACACCGCCCGU